GGCGCUCCCACUGUUCAGCGUUGUUUACUGGAACGGCUCUUUAAGGUUUCCUCACGGGGCUACCCAGAGGACCGUCUGUGCUGUGUGAUGCGAUCGAGCUUACAUAUAAGUAUCAUGUUCCUCAUCCACGGGUUCCUACUUCACGGGGAGGAACCACCUCAGUGCAUGCACUGUGCUGCCUCGACGUACUCAAGAAAUGGGUGCAAAACCUGAGCACCGCAAGCAGCACCUGAGCACCGCCUGAAAACCGCAGCACCUCCAAAAAGUAAAAGCAUAUGUGUCACAUGAGAUUUUUAAAUGUAUUCAUAGUAUAUAAUACCUUGUAUUAACUGUUGUAUA